GGGUAGUUCAUCUAUCCACGGGAUGGACUCAGCAAAUGCAGAGGUCAGCAGGUAGUUGGUGAAGGCUCUAUAUUGGAGGCUAUCACCACUGCAUAAAAGCCAACAGCUCAGGUUGGAGCACAUCUAUAGCCAUAUCAAGCACAAACUAGCAACAAUAUGAAAUGAUAAGAAGAAGAAAUAAUUUUAUUCUUAAAAUAGCUUAUU
rnacentral:misc_RNA from 1 species